GUACACUCCUGCGGGAGGCAGCAGUGGGGAAUUUUGGACAAUGGGCGAAAGCCUGAUCCAGCAAUGCCGCGUGAGUGAAGAAGGCCUUCGGGUUGUAAAGCUCUUUUGUCAGGGAAGAAACGGUGAAAGCUAAUAUCUUUUGCUAAUGACGGUACCUGAAGAAUAAGCACCGGCUAACUACGUGCCAGCAGCCGCGGUAAUACGUAGGGUGCAAGCGUUAAUCGGAAUUACUGGGCGUAAAGCGUGCGCAGGCGGUUUUGUAAGUCUGAUGUGAAAUCCCCGGGCUCAACCUGGGAAUUGCAUUGGAGACUGCAAGGCUAGAAUCUGGCAGAGGGGGGUAGAAUUCCACGUGUAGCAGUGAAAUGCGUAGAUAUGUGGAGGAACACCGAUGGCGAAGGCAGCCCCCUGGGUCAAGAUUGACGCUCAUGCACGAAAGCGUGGGGAGCAAACAGGAUUAGAUACCCCAGUAGUCCC
rnacentral:rRNA from 1 species